AACAUGAAAACCUCCGAGCCCACGCUCCUGGAGCCAACGGCAUGGUCGUGGGCCGACAGGGUUUAUCUGGAAACGGAUGAGCCUCCCAUUCUGGAAAGGAGGUCAUUGAUGUAGGUC
rnacentral:ncRNA from 2 species